AGAGGAGAAGAAUUGUAUUAUUCGAGAAUAAUAGUCAUCGUCCUUUUUACAGUGUGAAGGUCUCCUUUACAUAAUAGGAGACCUUCCUCGAAAUAAUCAAAAAGGUACAAAAGUAGGUAACGUCUUAAACUAUGUCACCUUUGUCUCCACGUCCAAGCCAUACCCUUGCUUUAGUCGACAUACGUUCAAAGGCGUACCUAUCAGCAUAGAGACGUCUAUGAUCAAAUUUGACCCUAUACAUUAUUAUUUCAAAAAAAAAUUUAAAAUAGCAACUGUCGCAUAUAGUAUAUAUCAAAAUUUUAAUAACUGGUCGAUAUUCGAGCGCAUUUAAAACUCAAUUCUCUUUAAAAGAAACAUAAUCAAUCAAUAUCACAAAUAAACUAGGCUUCAGUUCCAAAAUAGUUUUUGAUUGCAUAUGAUUAUUUGUAUUCGUUCUACUCUAUCCAUGUAAAAAGGAAAGUUCAUUUGUUAGCAAUUACUCAAGUUAAAGCUCAGUCUACUGAUUCAAGUCGUAAAUCAACUGAUGUAGAUUACAGAAAGACGGAUAAAUUAGAAUAGGAUGUAAGAAGUAAUCUGAAAAAUAAGUAUGCCAUGAUUACAACUUCUUAGAUUUUCAACAAAAAAAAAAGCAUAUGCCAAAGGGAGUGUUUGGUAUGAAAAAG
rnacentral:lncRNA from 1 species